rnacentral:rRNA from 1 species
AUUGAACGCUGGCGACAUGCCUUACACAUGCAAGUCGAACGGCAGCACGGGAGCAAUCCUGGUGGCGAGUGGCGAACGGGUGAGUAAUAUAUCGGAACGUGCCCAGUCGUGGGGGAUAACGCAGCGAAAGCUGUGCUAAUACCGCAUACGAUCUACGGAUGAAAGCGGGGGAUCGCAAGACCUCGCGCGAUUGGAGCGGCCGAUAUCAGAUUAGCUAGUUGGUGGGGUAAAGGCCCACCAAGGCGACGAUCUGUAGCUGGUCUGAGAGGACGACCAGCCACACUGGAACUGAGACACGGUCCAGACUCCUACGGGAGGCAGCAGUGGUGAAUUUUGGACAAUGGGCGCAAGCCUGAUCCAGCAAUGCCGCGUGCAGGAUGAAGGCCUUCGGGUUGUAAACUGCUUUUGUACGGAACGAAACGGCCCUUUCUAAUACAGGGGGCUAAUGACGGUACCGUAAGAAUAAGCACCGGCUAACUACGUGCCAGCCGCCGCCGUAAGAC